CCUCAAGAUGAGAUAUCCCAUCGUAAGAGUAAGACCCCUUGAAGACGACGAGGUUGAUAGGGCAGGGGUGGAAGUGCCGUAAGGCAUGGAGCUGACUGCUACUAAUCGGUCGAGGGCUUGACCAA
rnacentral:rRNA from 1 species